UUUAACGGAGAGUUUGAUCCUGGCUCAGGACGAACGCUGGCGGCGUGCUUAACACAUGCAAGUCGAGCGGUAAGGCCCUUU
rnacentral:rRNA from 1 species